AGUUUAAAGAGUGAGCACACUCAGUGCAAAGGCAGGGAUUGCGUUCCUUUUUCUUUCUGGAGGAUCAAUCAAAUGGAAAAGGUUAACCAGUUGGAUACCAAGCCACAAAGGAAAGAAAAUGGAGCAAUGCAGUCCAUGGUAGCUGCCUGUUUCUAAGUCAUUAAUUGCCAGUGUGCAAUGUGUAUUGAAGGGGUGACAUGCUGUUUUGUUUGAAGCCAGGUUGGAUGGGGCCCUGGACAACCUGAUCUUGUACCUGAUUUUGUGUUUAGCAAUGCUGCCCAUGGUAGGGGGAUUGGAAAUAGAUCAUCUUUGAGGUCCCUUCCAAGCCAAGCUGUUCUGUGGUUCUAUGAUACGAUUCUAUGGAACCACAGAGUGAAGUUUUAAGCCUCUAAGUGAAGGCCUCUGCAAAUGCAGCUGUGCAUGUGCCAAGGUAACAUGAAAUUUUGGGUAAACAGAUCUCCAUGGUAGAUUGCUUUGAGGCCAGGCAGCAGGAUGGGAGAGGCAGAUCCAUUCCCUCUUCUGCUGCUGCCUCCCGGCAGAGUCAGCUAGCUUCCUCCUGCUGCACAUCCUCAUUGUGAUGGUGGGGACUGGUCGUAUGGUCACAUCUGUCCUAAAUGUGUGGCUAAAUGGGUGCACUGGGUGGCUCUGCUUUCUGCAGAGACAGCGGACUGGGAACAACCUGGCUCUCCCAGCAGUUGCUGUGAAUUUCAUGCCAGUAGAAAUGACUUCUACCGAAGUGGGUAGUUUCAUGGGUAUUGAUUUUAGAGCUGUAUGUUAUCUUUUGAUACACUAAAAUCUGAUUAUUUAUUCUCGCAAGCAUUUUCUUAUACCUCUGGCUUUGUAAUAGUGCUGUUGGUAGGAUAAAUCAGCUGCAGUACUGUUAUCAGUUUCUCGAGUACAUUGGCAGCAAGUGGAACAGAAACAGCUCUCCACUUCCUGCGAAUAACCUGCAGCAGUUAUUUAUUUCUUUCAUCCUGCUGCAAUUAUGCCUUCCUUCAUUAUUAAUUGGUGAAUGAAUAGGUAAGUAAUCCUGCUGUUGAUUAUUCCUAUGCAUUUUCUCGUUGUCUGUGCUCUCCCUUAAAAGGAAAGCAUGACACAGAUUAAAAAAGGUGGGGCUUUGCAAGCUGAAGUAUAUCAAAACCUUCCUCUUUGAGUAAUGAUUUCAGUAGAAUUGCUGGGGCACGUUCUGGAGACUCUGGUAAGUGCUCUGCACCGGUACAUGAUGAGGCUUUGUUUUUCCUUUGCUUAGGAGUGUGUGCUUUUUAUAUGCUGAAACUGAGGUGUCUGCACCUCUGAAGUUUGGCACUACUCUUAUCUUUUUGGAAGAUGUACUGCUUAAAGCCAGCUGUUAGCAUUCUGUUGCUGCAAAUAGUGGUUAGAUUGAUCUGAAACCUUUCUGAAAAUGGAAGUGGAUCUUUUCAGUUGCAGGCAAUAUUUUUUUAAAAGCCUGUUUAUUAAAACCUCUAUUAAAAUUUGUUUACCACUUUUGUUAUAUUUUUUCCAGCAGUUGCUUCCAGGCUGGAGAUUUCCUUGGAAAAUGCUCCUUUAAGUGCUGUGGAGUUGUAUAACAAGCUGUACAGCUUAGAGGAUGAUUAUAAUUUUUUAUCUAAGGACUACUAUUCUCCAAAACAUGUUGGUUCCAAACAGUUGUACUUUCAUGCAGUAGUCUGUGC
rnacentral:lncRNA from 7 species